rnacentral:rRNA from 1 species
CCUACGGGAGGCAGCAGUGGGGAAUAUUGCACAAUGGGGGAAACCCUGAUGCAGCAACGCCGCGUGAGUGAUGACGGCCUUCGGGUUGUAAAGCUCUGUCUUCAGGGACGAUAAUGACGGUACCUGAGGAGGAAGCCACGGCUAACUACGUGCCAGCAGCCGCGGUAAUACGUAGGUGGCGAGCGUUGUCCGGAUUUACUGGGCGUAAAGGGAGCGUAGGCGGACUUUUAAGUGAGAUGUGAAAUACUCGGGCUGAACUUGAGUGCUGCAUUUCAAACUGGAAGUCUAGAGUGCAGGAGAGGAGAAUGGAAGUCGUAGGGUAGCGGGGAAAUGCGAAGGGAUUAGGAAGAACACCAGUGGGGAAGGAGAUUCUCGGGACUGUAACUGACGCGGGGGCUCAAAGGCGUGGGGAGAAAACAGGAUUAGAUACCCGAGUAGUC